UACACAAGGUAGUUAGUCGUCCAUAACAAAUCCGUGGCGCUAAACUCAAGAGGCAGCAACUGCCCAGAGCAGUUAGAAAAAUCGUUCAUACAGUGCUAACUAGAGGCCUUCUUUUAAUCAUAAUAAGGAAGGAUGAAAAAUGAAAAAAGGGGAUAAACACUAAAUAACUCAAUAAAGAUGAACAGAGUAAAUAGAAAACAAAAAGGUGGAAAUAACACAAGUGACUGCCUAGGUAAAUGCUUCCAUUCCAAACAGGCCUUAAGCAUU